UGAGGUGUCCUUUUGUGCUAAGUCAGU
rnacentral:piRNA from 1 species